AAACACAAGGCCAACCUCACUCCGACAAUGGAGGAGACCGAGGACAGAAAGCUCUGCGUGGGAAUGGGACAGAGAAUUAAAUUGUUUAGCAAACGGGAGGUCAGGCAGGUUCAGCCGG